rnacentral:rRNA from 1 species
AUUGAACGCUGGCGGCAGGCCUAACACAUGCAAGUCGAGCGGAUGAAGGGAGCUUGCUCCUGGAUUCAGCGGCGGACGGGUGAGUAAUGCCUAGGAAUCUGCCUGGUUGUGGGUGAUAACGUCCGGAAACGGGCGCUAAUACCGCAUUCGUCCUGAGGGAGAAAGUGGGGGAUCUUCGGACCUUCCGCUAUCAGAUGAGUCUAGGUCGGAUUAGCUAGUUGGUGGGGUAAAGGCCUACCAAGGCGACGAUCCGUAACUGGUCUGAGAGGAUGAUCAGUCACACUGGAACUGAGACACGGUCCAGACUCCUACGGGAGGCAGCAGUGGGGAAUAUUGGACAAUGGGCGAAAGCCUGAUCCAGCCAUGCCGCGUGUGUGAAGAAGGUCUUCGGAUUGUAAAGCACUUUAAGUUGGGAGGAAGGGCAGUAAGUUAAUACCUUGCUGUUUUGACGUUACCAACAGAAUAAGCACCGGCUAACUUCGUG